GGGGAAAUCUUCGAAAGACACCCGGAUGUUCUUGAAUUGGCUAAAACCCCUCCGCCGCUCCUCACCCAGGACGGAGCGGACCCGCUCUCGCAUUACUGCACUUCGUCCCUGUGGCCGGCCGUUCUCUUGGCCUCUCUCUCCCGCUUACCUCGACGUGGCGUUGACCAUCUCGGCCAGACUGUCGCGCCUCGGUCAGCUUUCCUUUUCCUCCACUCUACUUGCCUCAGUUAGUUAGUUCUUGCCGUGUCACUAGUACCCUACCCUACCCUACGCUACCCUACCGCCGAUUAUAGUAGAUAAUCUAGUAUGUUUUCUAGAAAAUUAUAAAGUUUAUAGUUUGCAUCACGCAUUAAUCAUAAAUGAAUCAUAUAUAUCGAUGUCGUACAUGGACCGCAUAUACGUUUAUACUUUUUGGUCUCUGCAUCAUUAUUACAUCUCGUCUAUUUUUAUUCAUGAUCUAUGUAUACAUUCUUCUCUCGGGUACCUAUACUCUAAUUAAAUCAUUGUUCUGCUACGAAUUUGGAAAGAUAUUUAUUCUCAUUAUUAACUUCUUGUAUCGCCGACAAGUAGGUGAGUACACUCAGGCCAAGUACUGGCUUGGGCUUACCAUUGCGAAGACUGUGUUACUCAGAAGGUGAAUGCAGCCAGCAUCAUGUCGAAAUCGGAAACUCUCUGAUGUUCUGCAAUAAGUUCUCAACUAUACCGUUGGAAUACCUCACAAAGCAGUUUUCGGUUGUCACGUUAAAGCCCAUGAGAGCGGCUGUGUUUAUAUUCUUCAUCCAAUGGUACAACCCGAUGUGGUUAUCGGUGGUUGUUCGAGGUGGUUGAAGGUGGUCGGAGG